rnacentral:misc_RNA from 1 species
UAUUGUCUUCAGCAGAAGGUGUA